CCCGCUGAACUUAAGCAUAUCAAUAAGCGGAGGAAAAGAAACCAACAGGGAUUGCCUCAGUAACGGCGAGUGAAGCGGCAACAGCUCAAAUUUGAAAUCUGGCCUCUUUGGGGUCCGAGUUGUAAUUUGUAGAGGAUGUUUCGGGUACCGCCUCGGUUUAAAUUUCUUGGAACAGAAUGUCAAAGAGGGUGAGAGUCCCGUCUUGGACCGGCGGUAGGGCCCGUGUGAAACUCCUUCGACGAGUCGAGUUGUUUGGGAAUGCAGCUCAAAAUGGGUGGUAAAUUUCAUCUAAAGCUAAAUAUUGGCCAGAGACCGAUAGCGCACAAGUAGAGUGAUCGAAAGAUGAAAAGCACUUUGAAAAGAGAGUUAAACAGUAUGUGAAAUUGUUGAAAGGGAAGCGCUUACAACCAGACUUGAGCGCGGCGGUUCCCCCUUCCUUUUGGUUGGGUUACUCCGUCGUGUCCAGGCCAACAUCGGUUCUGGGGGUCGGUCAAAGACCCUGGGAAUGUACCUACCCUCCGGGCGUAGACUUAUAGCCCAGGGUGUCAUGCGGCCUCCCGGGACCGAGGAACGCGCUUCGGCUCGGAUGUUGGCGUAAUGGUUGUCAGCGACCCGUCUUGAAACACGG
rnacentral:rRNA from 1 species